UGAUGACUUAACGAGCUUGAGAGCAGAUACACUCAAUUUUCUCUCUCUCUCUCGUCUUUUUGAGAAUCUUUAAUUUUUGAAGAGCCAAAUGAAAAGGAGGAAGAAGAAAUUGUUGUUGUUGUUGUUUGCUGCUGCUGCCGAGCUGCCGUUGUGUGUAGUUGCUUGUCUGCCGAGCGAAUAGAAGAGUUUGGGAGAUAAGAGAGAUGGCCAUGUGUUUCAAAAACUCGAGAAUCACCAGCCAUUUGUAGAUAAACGAUCUAGUGUUUAUUCCUCCACCAACUUGUCGACUGACCUUUUAGCCUAUUGGCGCGUCGUGUACAAGUGCGUAUACACGGACCAACCACCAACAAGAUGAACAACUAUGCCGAGAUUCCUCCUGGCACACACCUGGUGAUUACGUUCGCCACCGUCUGGUUGGCUCUCUCGACGCGUCUGGAAUGCUUAAACACCCUGGACAAUUGUGUGUGAGAACAACAUUGCAUCAAUAAGAAGAAGAACGUCUUUGAUUGUGUUCUUCGUAUAUUUAAUGGCGAAAGAAGAAAUGACAGUGAGAAACAACUCGACACCGUUCGGAUUAAACUGCGAGUAGAUUGGAAAUGAAUUUUUCUUUGCUCAUUUCAACAGACUACUACUCUUUCUCGUAUAGAAUAUUCAUCACUGGAAGGAAAUUUCAUUUCGGGUUAGGUUAUACAUGGCCGGCAGCACAGUUGUGCUUUUUUUGGGAUUGAGAAAAAAAAG